UACGUAGGGUGCAAGCGUUAAUCGGAAUUACUGGGCGUAAAGCGUGCGCAGGCGGUUUUGUAAGUCUGUCGUGAAAUCCCUAGGCUCAACCUAGGAACUGCGUCUGAUACUGGAUGGCUUGAGUUCGGGAGAGGGAUGCGGAAUUCCAGGUGUAGCGGUGAAAUGCGUAGAUAUCGGGUGGAACACCAGAGGCGAAGGCGGCGAACUGGACAGCAACUGACACUAAACUGCGAAAGCGUGGGGAGCAAACAGA
rnacentral:rRNA from 1 species